rnacentral:rRNA from 1 species
UACGAAGGGUGCAAGCGUUACUCGGAAUUACUGGGCGUAAAGCGUGCGUAGGUGGUGAGUUAAGUCUGUCGUGAAAGCCCCGGGCUCAACCUGGGAAUUGCGAUGAAGACUGCAAGGCUUGAAUCUGGCAGAGGGGGGUAGAAUUCCACGUGUAGCAGUGAAAUGCGUAGAGAUGUGGAGGAACACCGAUGGCGAAGGCAGCCCCCUGGGUCAAGAUUGACGCUCAUGCACGAAAGCGUGGGGAGCAAACAGG